AAAAAAAUCAAUAGCAAAAAGAGAAAAUUUCACUUUUGUACCAGAAAAUGAGGGCCAAGUUUCCAAUGAGAGGUACAAGAAACUGGAACGAGGUGCUCAUGUGGGCUGGGGAGUCAAGAAAAGAGGCUUCUGUCUCAGCUCACAGGAAACCCACUGAAGUCUCUGGGCUGAGAUGGGUGACAGUGCAUUUGCCUUCAAGACUGGCUACCUCUGGCUGCAAGGGAGACCAGCCAACAGUCUCUGUAGACGGUGCUGAGUUCUGGCUUGCUGCCUUUCAGGUGAAAGAACCCAACAUUUCUCUGCUAUCUUCUUUCCCUUGUGUCCUGUUUUCCUCACUGACCCCACAUCCAUCUAUCUGCCUUACAGUAUUAGGGAGGAAGAGGCCAUAUUUUAGCUCUAACCAACCCACUAAGCAUCUUCCUAUACCUUCAUAUUCUCUUUCCCCUGCCUGAAAUGCCCUUUCCAUUACCAAGCAUCUGUAUAUCUGGUGAUCUCCUACUCAUUAUUCCAAACCCAGCUCAAUUUCCACUUAUUCUUUGGAACCUUCUCCAAAUUGUCUAGUGGAGGAAACCACCCCCACUUCGUUUGUGCAGUUAGUG
rnacentral:lncRNA from 1 species